UCCUGGCUUAGAACGAACGCUGGCGGCAGGCCUAACACAUGCAAGUCGAGCGCGCCCUUCGGGGUGAGCGGCGGACGGGUUAGUAACGCGUGGGAACGUACCCUUUGGUAGGGAAUAGCCACUGGAAACGGUGAGUAAUACCCUAUGAGCCCUUCGGGGGAAAGAUUUAUCGCCAAAGGAUCGGCCCGCGUUAGAUUAGGUAGUUGGUGGGGUAAUGGCCUACCAAGCCUACGAUCUAUAGCUGGUUUUAGAGGAUGAUCAGCAACACUGGGACUGAGACACGGCCCAGACUCCUACGGGAGGCAGCAGUGGGGAAUCUUGGACAAUGGGGGCAACCCUUGAUCCAGCCAUGCCGCGUGAGUGAAGAAGGCCUUAGGGUCGUAAAGCUCUUUCGCCUGUGAAGAUAAUGACGGUAGCAGGUAAAGAAACCCCGGCUAACUCCGUGCCAGCCGCGGC
rnacentral:rRNA from 1 species